CAAGGAAUAGUUUAAUGCAAGAAUCCUAGUUUUGGGGACUAGGGGUGGGAGUUAAAAUCUCUCUUCUUUGA
rnacentral:tRNA from 1 species